GACGGAGGAUGCAAGUGUUAUCCGGAAUCACUGGGCGUAAAGCGUCUGUAGGUGGUUCAAUAAGUCAACUGUUAGAUCUUGAGGCUCAACUUCAAAAUCGCAGUCGAAACUAUUAAACUAGAGUAUAGUAGGGGUAAAGGGAAUUUCCAGUGGAGCGGUGAAAUGCGUAGAGAUUGGAAAGAACACCAAUGGCGAAAGCACUUUACUGGGCUAUUACUGACACUGAGAGACGAAAGCUAGGGUAGCAAAUGGG
rnacentral:rRNA from 1 species